UUGAACGCUGGCGGCAGGCCUAACACAUGCAAGUCGAGCGGUAGCACAGAGAGCUUGCUCUCGGGUGACGAGCGGCGGACGGGUGAGUAAUGUCUGGGAAACUGCCUGAUGGAGGGGGAUAACUACUGGAAACGGUAGCUAAUACCGCAUAACGUCGCAAGACCAAAGUGGGGGACCUUCGGGCCUCAUGCCAUCAGAUGUGCCCAGAUGGGAUUAGCUAGUAGGUGGGGUAACGGCUCACCUAGGCGACGAUCCCUAGCUGGUCUGAGAGGAUGACCAGCCACACUGGAACUGAGACACGGUCCAGACUCCUACGGGAGGCAGCAGUGGGGAAUAUUGCACAAUGGGCGCAAGCCUGAUGCAGCCAUGCCGCGUGUGUGAAGAAGGCCUUCGGGUUGUAAAGCACUUUCAGCGGGGAGGAAGGCGAUAAGGUUAAUAACCUUGUCGAUUGACGUUACCCGCAGAAGAAGCACCGGCUAACUCCGUGCCAGCAGCCGCGGUAAUACGGAGGGUGCAAGCGUUAAUCGGAAUUACUGGGCGUAAAGCGCACGCAGGCGGUCUGUCAAGUCGGAUGUGAAAUCCCCGGGCUCAACCUGGGAACUGCAUUCGAAACUGGCAGGCUAGAGUCUUGUAGAGGGGGGUAGAAUUCCAGGUGUAGCGGUGAAAUGCGUAGAGAUCUGGAGGAAUACCGGUGGCGAAGGCGGCCCCCUGGACAAAGACUGACGCUCAGGUGCGAAAGCGUGGGGAGCAAACAGGAUUAGAUACCCUGGUAGUCCACGCCGUAAACGAUGUCGAUUUGGAGGUUGUGCCCUUGAGGCGUGGCUUCCGGAGCUAACGCGUUAAAUCGACCGCCUGGGGAGUACGGCCGCAAGGUUAAAACUCAAAUGAAUUGACGGGGGCCCGCACAAGCGGUGGAGCAUGUGGUUUAAUUCGAUGCAACGCGAAGAACCUUACCUGGUCUUGACAUCCACAGAACUUUCCAGAGAUGGAUUGGUGCCUUCGGGAACUGUGAGACAGGUGCUGCAUGGCUGUCGUCAGCUCGUGUUGUGAAAUGUUGGGUUAAGUCCCGCAACGAGCGCAACCCUUAUCCUUUGUUGCCAGCGGUUAGGCCGGGAACUCAAAGGAGACUGCCAGUGAUAAACUGGAGGAAGGUGGGGAUGACGUCAAGUCAUCAUGGCCCUUACGACCAGGGCUACACACGUGCUACAAUGGCAUAUACAAAGAGAAGCGACCUCGCGAGAGCAAGCGGACCUCAUAAAGUAUGUCGUAGUCCGGAUUGGAGUCUGCAACUCGACUCCAUGAAGUCGGAAUCGCUAGUAAUCGUAGAUCAGAAUGCUACGGUGAAUACGUUCCCGGGCCUUGUACACACCGCCCGUCACACCAUGGGAGUCGUAAAUGCCCGAAGUCGGUGACCUAACCGUAAGGAAGGAGCCGCCGAAGGCAGGUAUGAUAACUGGGGUG
rnacentral:rRNA from 1 species